rnacentral:rRNA from 1 species
UACGUAGGGUGCAAGCGUUACUCGGAAUUACUGGGCGUAAAGCGUGCGUAGGUGGUUCGUUAAGUCUGAUGUGAAAGCCCUGGGCUCAACCUGGGAAUGGCAUUGGAUACUGGCGAUCUAGAGUGCGGUAGAGGGCAGUGGAAUUCCCGGUGUAGCAGUGAAAUGCGUAGAGAUCGGGAGGAACAUCUGUGGCGAAGGCGACUGCCUGGACCAGCACUGACACUGAGGCACGAAAGCGUGGGGAGCAAACAGG